rnacentral:rRNA from 1 species
GAUGAACGCUAGCUACAGGCUUAACACAUGCAAGUCGAGGGGUAACGAGAGGAAAGCUUGCUUUCCUUGUCGACGACCGGCGCACGGGUGAGUAACGCGUAUCCAACCUGCCCCCAACUAGGUAAUAACCUUGCGAAAGUAAGACUAAUACCCUAUAAUUUCCUCAGAUGUCAUCUGACGAGGAAUAAAGAUUUAUCGGUUGUGGAUGGGGAUGCUGCUGAUUAGCUUGGUGGCGGGGUAACGGCCCACCAAGGCAACGAUCAGUAGGGGUUCUGAGAGGAAGGUCCCCCACAUUGGAACUGAGACACGGUCCAAACUCCUACGGGAGGCAGCAGUGAGGAAUAUUGGUCAAUGGGCGGAAGCCUGAACCAGCCAAGUAGCGUGCAGGAUGACGGCCCUAUGGGUUGUAAACUGCUUUUAUACAGGAAUAAAGUUAGCCACGUGUGGUUAUUUGUAGGUACUGUAUGAAUAAGGACCGGCUAAUUCCGUGCCAGCAGCCGCCGUAACAC